UACGAAGGGGGCUAGCGUUGCUCGGAAUCACUGAGCGUAAGCGCACGUAGGCGGACUCUUAAGUCGGUGGUGAAAUCCUGGAGCUCAACUCCAGAACUGCCUUCGAUACUGAGAGUCUCGAGUCCGGGAGAGGUGAGUGGAACUGCGAAGUGUAGAGGUGAAAUUCGUAGAUAUUCGCAAGAACACCAGUGGCGAAGGCGGCUCACUGGCCCGGUACUGACGCUGAGGUGCGAAAGCGUGGGGAGCAACAGG
rnacentral:rRNA from 1 species